CACCGCGGUUAUACGAGAGGCCCAAGCUGACAGUUACCGGCGUAAAGAGGGGUUAAUUAUUCUCUACACUAAAGCCGAACAUCUCCAAAGUUGUUUAAUGCACUCGAAGACAUGAAGACCAACUACGAAAGUGGCUUUACACUCUUUGAACCCACGAAAGCUAGGGAA
rnacentral:rRNA from 1 species